UGCGUAGGCGGCGCGCUAAGUCAGUGGUGAAAGCCUCCCGCUAAACGGGAGAAAUGCCAUUGAUACUGGCGUGCUUGAGUACGGACGAGGUAGGCGGAAUUUAUGGUGUAGCGGUGAAAUGCAUAGAUACCAUAAAGAACACCGAUAGCGUAGGCAGCUUACUAGACCGUAACUGACGCUGAGGCACGAAAGCGUGGGGAGCGAACAGGAUUAGAUACCCUGGUAGUC
rnacentral:rRNA from 1 species